GACGAACGCUGGCGGCGUGCUUAACACAUGCAAGUCGAACGGAAAGGCCCUGCUUUUGUGGGGUGCUAGAGUGGCGAACGGGUGAGUAACCCGUGAGUAACCUGCCCUUGACUUUGGGAUAACUUCAGGAAACUGGGGCUAAUACCGGAUAGGAGCUCCUGCUGCAUGGUGGGGGUUGGACAGUUUCGGCGGUUGGGGAUGGACGGGGGGCUUAUCAGCUUGUUGGGGGGGUAGUCGCUUACCCAGGCUUUGGCGGAUAGCCGGCCUGGGAGGGUAACCGGCCACAUGGGGACUGAGGUACGGCGCAGACUCCUACGGGAGGCAGCAGUGGGGAAUAUGGCACAAUGGGCGGAAGCCUGAUGCAGCAGCGCCGCGUGCGGGAUGACGGCCUUCGGGUGGUAAACCGCUGUCGCCUGUGACGAAGCGUGAGUGACGGUAAUAGGUAAAGAAGCACCGGCUAACUACGUG
rnacentral:rRNA from 1 species